CGGACGGGCAUAGGGCUAACUUUAUGGCCACAAACACAAAUUACAACUACUACAACAAUGACAGCACCAACAAAAAAUAACAACAAAAAGUUUGUCAUGCAAACAGUUUGGAGAGUUGGACUCCAUCUCCACCUGGAGAACGAUGCAAAAGGUGCUGGGAACGAGCGCUGAUUUACAUGUUGCCUGAACUGGACUCUCACGGCCACUAAAUUAGAAGUUACUCGGAUGCUGAUUUUGAGCCUGUGAGCUACAUGUCAGCACUGUGGCUAGUACAGUUAGAGGUGGCAUGCGCCCAGUGCGCUGUUUGCCACUUGAAAGUUUAUGCCUUAUGAGCCGCAAAUGGCCACAGGACACGAACAUGGAUACGGACAAGCUACACUCUGCCACUGCCACUGGACUCAUAAUAAAGACACACGGGCAAGGUGGCCUAACUAAGUCUGUGUGCAGUGUGAAUGAAAA